GUUUCCCCCCACCAUUAACCACCACCCACCUCCCACCUACACAACAAGUAACCACCUUCACCGUUUUCUCUCUAAACAGAACCACCUUGACACCUUCACCACCUCUCCAUCAUCAUGUUCUCAUUUUAACAUCCACUCACACACAUCUGUGUGUAAUUUAGAGAAUGAGAGAAGGCGGAGAUGAAGGCACCAAUCUCCAUCAUCGUUCCUUUAUUCCAUCGGCGGUUGAUCGGAGUCAGAGAAAUCGAUUCGGUUUCGAUUUCGAUCGGAGUUGAGUUUGUUAUGAGGAUGUAGUGAAACUCGUCAUCAUCAUCAUUAUUUGCUUUUUCCGAUCUGGACGCCAUCAUCACCAUCAUCAUUAUUGUCGUUGCCUACAUUUGGGACUUCUUGACAAAAUCCUAACGCCUCUGACCUGCGUCUAGAGCCACCAUCUUCGAUUAAGUUGAUUUAGGGGAUGCACCGCUGAAAGCUCCAUCGUCGCCGCCGUGAUCGGCAGCCGUCCGUCGUUCCACCGCCUAUUGCUGAAUGCCAUUUUCCUUAUUCUUCAACUCUUUCUAUGGGUGUAGAGAUGGUUCAAUUUCCCAAUUCUUAAUUCCUAAAGAUUAUUACAUUUAAGUUAGGUUAGGUAGGUUUUAUCUUAAUAUUUCUUGUUACAUUCUGAUAUUGUGAUUUGGGUAUUCAAGAUCUGCAAUUUUUUGAAACAUCCUUCACUUUUAUUUUGUAAACUUGAACCCAUGAAAAAUUAUAGUGCAUUAAUCUGAAUAUAUUGGUAGAUGUGGUGUGGUAUGGUGGUGGUGUUUGGUAGAUGUGGUUAUGAGUGGAGAAGAUGA
rnacentral:lncRNA from 1 species